UGCAAGUCGAGUGCGCGGUGCCGUAGCAAUACGGUACUGGCGCACGGCGCACGGGUGCGUAACACGUGGGUAAUCUGCCCUCUGAUGGGGAAUAACCCGCCGAAAGGCGGGCUAAUACCGCAUAACAUUCCUUGGACUCCGGUUCGAGGACUCAAAGCCGUGAGGCGUCGGAGGUGGAGCCCGCGCACGAUUAGCUAGUUGGUAGGGUAACGGCCUACCAAGGCUAUGAUCGUUAGCUGGUCUGAGAGGAUGGCCAGCCACACUGGAACUGAGACACGGUCCAGACUCCUACGGGAGGCAGCAGUGGGGAAUCUUGCGCAAUGGGCGAAAGCCUGACGCAGCGACGCCGCGUGGGGGAUGAAGCUUCUCGGAGUGUAAACCCCUUUCGACCGGGACGAAUACCUCGCAAGAGGGGUGACGGUACCGGUAUAAGAAGCCCCGGCUAACUACGUGCCAGCAGCCGCGGUAAGACGUAGGGGGCCAGCGUUGUUCGGAAUUACUGGGUGUAAAGGGUUCGUAGGCGGUGUGGCAAGUCGGGAGUGAAAUCUCUGGGCUCAACACAGGGGCUGCUUCCGAAACUGCUGUGCUGGAGUGUGGGAGAGGCGCGUGGAAUUGCAGGUGUAGCGGUGAAAUGCGUAGAUAUCUGCAGGAACACCCGUGGCGAAAGCGGCGCGCUGGACCACUACUGACGCUGAGGAACGAAAGCUAGGGGAGCAAACAGGAUUAGAUACCCUGGUAGUCCUAGCCCUAAACGAUCAGGACUUGGGGUGCCACCCGUUCGGGUGUCGUCCCGGAGCUAACGCGUUAAGUCCUGCACCUGGGGAGUACGGUCGCAAGACUGAAACUCAAAGGAAUUGACGGGGGCCCGCACAAGCGGUGGAAC
rnacentral:rRNA from 1 species